UGGGGAAUAUUGCGCAAUGGGCGAAAGCCUGACGCAGCAACGCCGCGUGAGUGAUGAAGGCCUUCGGGUCGUAAAGCUCUGUCGGAGGGAACGAAUGCUCUUGAGGUUAACAGCCUCGGGAGGUGACGGUACCCUCAAAGGAAGCACCGGCUAACUCUGUGCCAGCAGCCGCGGUAAUACAGAGGGUGCAAGCGUUGUUCGGAAUCAUUGGGCGUAAAGGGCGUGUAGGCGGUAUGUUAAGUCAUGUGUGAAAUCCCUCGGCUCAACCGGGGAACGACGCAUGAAACUAGCAAGCUAGAGUACCAAAGAGGGUGGUGGAAUUCCCGGUGUAGCGGCGAAAUGCGUAGAUAUCGGGAGGAACACCUGUGGCGAAGGCGGCCACCUGGUUGGAUACUGACGCUGAGACGCGAAAGCGUGGGGAGCAAACAGGAUUAGAUACCCAAGUAGUCCCUGAGCGGGCUGGCAAGGCGCAU
rnacentral:rRNA from 1 species